CAGCGGGGUGUAGCAAUACACCGCCGGCGACCGGCGCACGGGUGAGUAACGCGUAUGCAACUUGCCUAUCAGAGGGGGAUAACCCGGCGAAAGUCGGACUAAUACCGCAUGAAGCAGGGGCCCCGCAUGGGGAUAUUUGCUAAAGAUUCAUCGCUGAUAGAUAGGCAUGCGUUCCAUUAGGCAGUUGGCGGGGUAACGGCCCACCAAGGCGACGAUCAGUAGCCGGACUGAGAGGUUAACCCCCACAUUGGUACUGAGACACGGACCAAACUCC
rnacentral:rRNA from 1 species